CGUCUAAUACCCGGAUACGAGCUGCGAAGGCAUCUUCAGCAGUUGGAAAGAAUUUCGGUCAGGGAUGAGCUCGCGGCCUAUCAGCUUGUUGGUGAGGUAAUGGCUCACCAAGGCGUCGACGGGUAGCCGGCCUGAGAGGGUGACCGGCCACACUGGGACUGAGACACGGCCCAGACUCCUACGGGAGGCAGCAGUGGGGAAUAUUGCACAAUGGGCGGAAGCCUGAUGCAGCAACGCCGCGUGAGGGAUGACGGCCUUCGGGUUGUAAACCUCUUUUAGCAGGGAAGAAGCGAAAGUGACGGUACCUGCAGAAAAAGCGCCGGCUAACUACGUGC
rnacentral:rRNA from 1 species